rnacentral:rRNA from 1 species
CUUGGAACAGGACGUCAUAGAGGGUGAGAAUCCCGUAUGUGACAAGAAAUGGCACCCUAUGUAAAUCUCCUUCGACGAGUCGAGUUGUUUGAGAAUGCACCUCUAAAUGGGAGGUAAAUUUCUUCUAAAGCUAAAUAUUGGCAAAAGACCGAUAGCCCACAAGUAGAAUGAUCGAAAGAUGAAAAGCACUUUGGAAAGAGAGUUAAAAAGCACGUGAAAUUGUUGAGAGGGAACCGCUUGCAAUCCUACUUGUUUAAACUGUUCCGCCGGUCUUCUGACCGGUUUACUCACUUUGGACAGGCCACCAUCAUUUUCCGCGGCCGAAAAAAGGCUCUGGAAAUGUGGCCCCCACUUCGGGGGAGGUGUUAUAGCCCAGGGUGUAAUACCGCCAGGCGGGACUGACGUCCGCGCUUCGGCUAGGAUGCUGGCGUAAUGGUUGUAAGCGACCCCNCUUGAACACGGACCA